ACAUCUCUUUGAAACAGCGGUUCCCGUACCAUCACCAAAGUUAAGCAACGUCGAGCCUGGCCAGUACCUAUAUGGGUGACCGAUUGGGAACAUCAGGUACUGUGA